UGUAUAUUUCUGAUUCAGUAACGCUUCAAGUCAUUAGAUUAUACAUGGGAUAAAACAUCAUAUCUUAUAUAAUAAGAGAAGGUUUUUCCUAACUUUGCUUACUAAUGCGACAUUUGACACUCUACUUUGAUGACACAUGUACUUAUCAUUAAUUGUAGUUUGACUAAAAUAAUUUAUUAAUAGAUAUAU
rnacentral:sRNA from 1 species